rnacentral:rRNA from 1 species
UAGGGAAUCUUGGACAAUGGGCGAAAGCCUGAUCCAGCCAUGCCGCGUGAGUGAUGAAGGCCUUAGGGUUGUAAAGCUCUUUCGCCAGGGAAGAUAAUGACGGUACCUGGAUAAGAAGCCCCGGCAAACUUCGUGCCAGCAGCCGCGGUAAUACGAAGGGGGCUAGCGUUGUUCGGAAUUACUGGGCGUAAAGCGCACGUAGGCGGCUUUCCAAGUUGGAGGUGAAAUCCCCGGGCUUAACUCGGGAACUGCCUCCAAAAACUGGACGGCUCGAGUCCGAGAGAGGUGAGUGGAAUUUCCAGUGUAGAGGUGAAAUUCGUAGAUAUUGGAAAGAACACCAGUGGCGAAGGCGGCUCACUGGCUCGGUACUGACGCUGAGGUGCGACAGCGUGGGGAGCAAACAGGAUUAGAUACCCUGGUAGUCCACGCCGUAAACGAUGGGUGCUAGUUGUCAGGCGGCUUGCUGUUUGGUGACGCAGCUAACGCAUUAAGCACCCCGCCUGGGGGAGUACGGUCGCAAGAUUAAAAACUUAAAUGAAUUGAC